CCCGGGGGGGUUGGGGGACCUGGCUGUGCUAGACAGUGUCGGCCGUUGGUACAGUGUGGUUGACUGAGAAUGAGGAGGUGCAGCUUGCACAGGGGUUCUUAGGGGUUCUCGUUGGUUUUGGUGAGGUAGCCCAUUAUGAGACAGACAGGGCUCUUCAUUGGCUUUGGUGAAGUAGCCCAUUAUGAGACAGACAGGGCUCUUCAUUGGCUUUGGUGAGGUAGCCCAUUAUGAGGCAGACAGGGCUCUUCAUUGGCUUUGGUGAGGUAGCCCAUUAUGAGACAGACAGGGCUCUUCAUUGGCUUUGGUGAAGUAGCCCAUUAUGAGACAGACAGGGCUCUUCAUUGGCUUUGGUGAAGUAGCCCAUUAUGAGACAGACAGGGCUCUUCAUUGGCUUUGGUGAGGUAGCCCAUUAUGAGGCAGACAGGGCUCUUCAUUGGCUUUGGUGAGGUAGCCCAUUAUGAGACAGAUAUAUAUUUGCCAGUCACGGCAAUUCUGUCUUCUGCAGUAUGACCCCUGACUGACCAAAGUGUUUAUGUGCUGCCCCACUCCCCCCCCAGAGGGAUAGUCCCAGACAAAACAUCUGCAGGGGUUGAUUUUCUCUAGGUUAAUUCCGUGCUCAGGAAGGAGGGCUCACCUGAGACCUUGCAGGAAAUGACCUUUGUUUUAGCUGCCGGCACAGACUCCUGCUGGUGAUUAGACGCGUGCAGCCCAGGGGAUGUGUCUGCAGACCUUUCUGGGGCUAAGCCUGGAUCAUUGUGGCUCUAAUCUGGGAAGUACACAAGAGUAAGUGCUACACAAAAAUGUUCCCCAAGCCCAGGGAUUAUGCAUUAGUUUGGAUAAUCAACCCGUCAGAAACAGGACAGAAAGGGAGGGAAAUCUGGGUAUUUGUGUCCUUUUUCUAAUAAAUAACCUUUUUCCCCUGAAUGUUUGCCAGACAAUCACCCUGCAGAUGCCCCUAUAGGAGGUGGGGAAGGGCCAUUGAUUUGGGGCAAACGGCCAGAAGCUCCCGAUUGGUGUAACAGCGGCUGGCUGUUUGGUGAUGCACUCCUGCUGGAUUAAAUGCUUCUGUGGGGAAGUUGCCCUGCCCUACCCAGCCUUGCUCUGUCCUGCCAUGCCCAGCCUAACCCGGCCCAGCCUUGCCCAGCCCUGACCUACCCUGACCUGUCCAGCCCAGCCCAGCCCUGCCCGUAGUCAUCACGUCUGCUGGGCCCUAAAGCCGCAAGUUAACAUUUUUUAAGAAAAGUAGAGGAAGGGCAGAGCGGCUAAGGGCAGAGCCCAGGCACACACCAUCGCUAAGGGGGGCCUGGCUGGGCUGGGCUGGGCCGGGCCGGGGGCUUUUCAAGGGGCAUAAUAAUCACAAAUUAAGUCUUUUUGUAUUCGUAGACUCAAUUCCAUUAGCAUGACAAAGCUGCUGUGUA